CAGAGAGAGGGGGGAGGUAUCGAGAGAGGAGGCAAAGAAAAGGGGACUAGGCCCGCCGGCUCCCCCCGUUGAUCCCUCGCCCCCCGCCACCAUUCGGUGAUGGAAUCAAACGGGAGCAAGGCCUCACACCGCUCCACCGGUCCUUCCUUUUCCGCCGCGCAGCCACGCACAUCGGAGGUGACGGCGCAAUGACAGCAGCAGCAGCGCCCUCUUCCCCCAAUCCCACCCAGCAACGUGGCUUUCUCCCCCCACGCCUUUCCCCUACUGGCCAUGGGAGUGAGCCUACUAUUGCCCCCUGUUGAGGUCCUCCAAUUCCCAUGGCGCGAAGCUCUUGUGUGGCGCCUCAGUCCUCCCCGUUGCCAUGGAAGCCGUCACGCCGUUGGGACCCGAGUUGCAGUGUGGGCUCCGCCAGCGCCGGCGGCCACCAUGGAGUGGGUCGUUCCUAUCCCCUCACGUUGCAUAUAUACUGGACGCGAGCAACAUUAUCGUUCUUAUUUGGGCCAGCCGGGUGCAAUGAGAAAGAUCUCAAUUACGGGAUCCACAAGAUGUUGAGAAAGAAAUCAGCCGGAGAUCUUUAACUCUUCAGAAUUGCACAAGCCCACAAACGGAUCUCACGCU